GGAUUGCCCCAGUAACGGCGAGUGAAGCGGCAACAGCUCAAAUUUGAAAUCUGACCCCUUCCGGGCCCGAGUUGUAAUUUGAAGAGGGUGUUUCGGGUACGGCGGCGGUCUAAGUCCUUUGGAACAGGGUGUCAUAGAGGGUGAGAAUCCCGUGUGCGACCGGCGACCAACCCCAUGUGAAACCCCUUCGACGAGUCGAGUUGUUUGGGAAUGCAGCUCAAAAUGGGUGGUAAAUUUCAUCUAAAGCUAAAUACCGGCCAGAGACCGAUAGCGCACAAGUAGAGUGAUCGAAAGAUGAAAAGCACUUUGGAAAGAGAGUCAAACAGUACGUGAAAUUGUUGAAAGGGAAGCGCUUGCAACCAGACCUGUCCACGGGCGAUCAACCGGUAUUCUUAGCGGUGCACUCACCCGUGAUCAGGCCAGCAUCGGUUCGGGCGGCCGGAUAAAGGCCUCCGGAAUGUAGCUCCCCCCGGGGAGUGUUAUAGCCUGGGGCGCAAUGCUGCCAGCCCGGACCGAGGACCGCGCUUCGGCUAGGAUGCUGGCGUAAUGGUUGUAAGCGACCCGUCUUGAAACACGGACCAAGGAGUCUAACAUCUAUGCGAGUGUUUGGGUGUCAAACCCAUGCGCGGAAUGAAAGUGAACGGAGGUGGGAACCCUCAAGGGCGCACCAUCGACCGAUCCAGAUGUGUUCGGAUGGAUUUGAGUAUGAGCAUAGCUGUUGGGACCCGAAAGAUGGUGAACUAUGCCUGAAUAGGGUGAAGCCAGAGGAAACUCUGGUGGAGGCUCGCAGCGGUUCUGACGUGCAAAUCGAUCGUCAAAUUUGGGUAUAGGGGCGAAAGACUAAUCGAACCAUCUAACCUUCCGCUACUGGAUGGUCGGUCCGGGCCCCGACGACGGGCCCGGGGCAGUCCCCGCCACGGGGGCUACAUCGCCAGUCUCCGGGCAUGCCUCCGGGCUACCCGCAGCGGGCUCCCCCCAGGGCCCGUCCACAGACUAAACGGCGGUGGCCGCAGGGGCCUCCCCGCGGUUGUGAGAUAGCCGAUUCCACCCCUAACCGGGCGGUUGGAAAAGAGUAGCUGGUUCCUGCCGAAGUUUCCCUCAGGAUAGCAGUAACGUUUUCAGUUUUAUGAGGUAAAGCGAAUGAUUAGAGGCCUUGGGGUUGAAACAACCUUAACCUAUUCUCAAACUUUAAAUAUGUAAGAAGUCCUCGUUGCUUAGUUGAACGUCGACAUUUGAAUGCACCGUUACUAGUGGGCCAUUUUUGGUAAGCAGAACUGGCGAUGCGGGAUGAACCGAACGCGAGGUUAAGGUGCCGGAAUGCACGCUCAUCAGACACCACAAAAGGUGUUAGUUCAUCUAGACAGCCGGACGGUGGCCAUGGAAGUCGGAAACCGCUAAGGAGUGUGUAACAACUCACCGGCCGAAUGAACUAGCCCUGAAAAUGGAUGGCGCUCAAGCGUGCUACCCAUACCUCGCCGCCAGGGUAGAAACGAUGCCCU
rnacentral:rRNA from 1 species